rnacentral:SRP_RNA from 1 species
GUCCAGGUCCUAUGCAAUUUGUCGCCGCAAAACCCCGCGAGAUCGGGAACGAAGCAACGGUAUGCGGAUGACAGGUGUGCCGUAGACAACCUGGGCUCU